GGAAGUAAUGGUUCCCUCUAGUGUUAAAACAUUUGUUUUUACUAAUAUAGUCAAUUCUCUAUAGAAAUGGCUUAUCUAUAGGUUUCCUGAUCUGCCAUCCCCACCCCAACCAGCUUCCAAGCUGCCAAUCACAAAGUGAGCUUACAAUAAAAUUGAUUUUGGAUUAAUUAUUUUGGGGCAUAAAUUUCUUUUUUUCCCCUUCAUUAGAGUAUACAAAUAGAAAUAGACUGUAUUCUCCAACUGAACAGAUAAUUUCAAAAUUAUUCUUAAGCAACUGUGUGUAAAAAGGCCAUUUCAUACUUUCCCCCCUAUUUUGUAAUGCAUGGUUAGAAGCAGCUGCCCUUAUGUAAGCUGGCUUUCUAAUGAACAAAGUUUUAAAUUCAUAAGAACUUCCAAAUUUGUUACAGUAAUGUACAGGGAGUUUUAAGAGUGAAAAUUUGUGACAUGUCUGGAUAGUUAUAAAUGUUAUUAAACUACUUUUGAACUUGUUUAACAAUUUUCCAAAUUUUUUGGUAAUUUUUCACCAUACACCGACUUAAAUAACUGCACCAGAGUGUAGAAAGACUAAGUGAUGACUGCCACUAUUACUGUCUUUAUAUGAUGGUGGCAUAAAAAGGAUCAAAGAUUCUAGAUGCAUAAGAUAGUAAGAUUUCCUAUUUCAUAAAUCAAAACAGUUUUUAAUUACAUCUACUCACUUAGCUAAAGAAUGCUAAUAAUGUGCAUUGUUGAGACGAUAAACAAAGUUUUUUGUACUUGUAACAAAUUAUAAAGAGCUAAAUAGCAGCAGUGCCAUAUAGUGAUAUAUAUAUAUAUAUAUUGAUUUGUAGUUAGGAGACCUGGGAUCAAAUCCUUGUUUGACAGUUAUUAUAUUUUCAUGGGCAAGUGACCAUAUUUCUAAAUUUCUCAUCUCAUAUGCGGAAUACUUGUAGGGUCCACUUCAUUAGCCUUUUGUAUGGAAAAAACUUUGUAUGUGUUAAAAGUGCAAAGUAAAUGUGUGAGCUCUUUUUAUUAGGCAUAUAUUUCUUAAGUACAUCAGUUUUGUCACAGAGACUGAUAGAGGGAGGAGAUAUACUUGGGAGGGAAUUAUCAGCUCUGACUUCUGAAAUGGCCCUCAUUACUCUCCUUAAUUUAUAAUAGGGCAAGAAGAAACUUACUGGACAUGAUUCAUCUAAAUAGCCUUGAAUCUAACAUUUCCAUAAACUUCAUUCUCUACAACAUAAAAUAGGCAGGUAUUGAUAGUCUUAAGUUUUUGUGGAGUAUUUAUU
rnacentral:lncRNA from 1 species